rnacentral:misc_RNA from 1 species
CAACCUUCAAGCGCGGCUUGUGUGUUGGGCCUCGUCCCCCGUGGACGUGCCCGAAAGGCAGUGGCGGCGUCCGUUUCGGUGCCCGAGCGUAUGGGAAUCCUUAUAAGCUCAACAGGCCCGGCGGCGCUGGUCGAAACCAUAUUUUACC